rnacentral:rRNA from 1 species
UACGUAGGUGGCAAGCGUUGUCCGGAUUUAUUGGGCGUAAAGAGCUCGUAGGCGGCUCAGUAAGUCGGGUGUGAAACCUCCAGGCUCAACCUGGAGACGCCACCUGAUACUGCUGUGGCUAGAGUCCGGUAGGGGAGCGUGGAAUUCCUGGUGUAGCGGUGAAAUGCGCAGAUAUCAGGAGGAACACCAGCGGCGAAGGCGGCGCUCUGGGCCGGAACUGACGCUGAGGAGCGAAAGCGUGGGUAGCAAACAGG